rnacentral:SRP_RNA from 1 species
UAAUAAUUAUGGCACAACAAAUAUGUUGUAAUCAGGUCAGGUCCGGAAGGAAGCAGCCUUACUCAACCUCUAUUUGUGUGUGCC